rnacentral:tRNA from 1 species
GGUCGGUGGCGGGGUGAUUGGCGGCGGCGGAUCGGCAUCGCCGUUGCUGACUGUCACGGCGAGCUGGCCGGUGCCGAUGCCGUCGCCGAGCA